ensembl:lncRNA
CUUCGCUGUCACAUCACAUGACUCAAAGAGAGGUUAUAAAACAGUGAAUUUUAGUGAUGCAUGACUUCAUUUACCUUUACCAUGGGACUUACUGCUUAACCCAUGAAUUUGAUAUUACACUCGACUCCAUCAUUUCUUAAAGCAAUCAGACCAAUCGGCUAUCAAGAUGUGGAGAACAGUAUUGAUGACCACCGUUUUUAUGUUAACUGCACAUACUGCAAUCAGAGCUCACUCAACAGCAAUGACUGAUGUUACAGCAGCUACAGACUCAACAAAUGACAUCGCAACAGAUUCAGUUAUUCGUGUUACAAAUGAUUCUACAGCAGAUACAACUGAUGGACUUGCCACAGAAAUAUCCAUGGAAACAAUUACAAGCAGCACUGUGGAAUCUAGAACCGGAUUAUCAGAUGAAUCAACCAACGGUGACCUGACAGAAAUGACAACAAUAGAAGAAUUUUCAACAUCUUUGCCGGAUGACCCUACCACUGAUACUACAGAUCCGUCAAUCAACACACCAAAAUUUACGGCAGGAACUAUAGCAUUUACUGAUGAAUUACCAAUUGGUUUCACUGAUGACUCAGCCACAAAUGUUACAGAUGAAUCAACAACAGCCUUUGCAACUGAUUCAUCAGAGGAAGAUUCAACAGAGGAAACGGAACUAUCAACUGUAGGAUUUACUGAUCAAUCAACUACAACACAACCAAACACAAGAGCUAUAGCUGAAUCCACCUUAGAAGAAAUAACUGUAGACUACACUGACAAUACUACAGAUGAAGCACGGGAAUUGACAACAGCCUUCACAUCAGACAUAUCUACAAAUGAUUCAUCAGAGGAAGAUUCAAAAGAGGAAACGGAACUAUCAACAGUAGGAUUUACUGAUCAAUCAACUAGAACACAACCAAACACAAGAGCUAUAGCUGAAUCCACCGUAGAAGAAAUAACUGUAGACUACACUGACAAUACUACAGAUGAAGCACGGGAAUUGACAACAGCCUACACAACAGACAUAUCUACAAAUGAUUCAUCAGAGGAAGAUUCAAAAGAGGAAACGGAACUAUCAACAGGAGAAUUUACUGAUCAAUCAACUACAACACAACCAACCACAAGAACUAUUGCUGAAUCCACCUUAGAAGAAAUAACUUUAAAUGUCACUAAUGAUACUACUGAUGAAGAACUGACAACAGCUUUCACAUCAGACAUUUCUACAAGUUAUUCAUCAGAGGAAGAUUCAACAGAGGAAACCGAACCGUCAACUACAGAGGUUACUGAUAAUCCAAUUACAAGUAUAAAACCUCAUUCAACCACAAGAAUUACAGCUGAAUCCACCUUAGAAGAAAUAACUUUAAAUGUCACUAAUGAUACUACUGAUGAAGAACUGACAACAACAUUCACAUCAGAAAAAUCUACAAGUGUCUCAAACAAACCAACACCAUUUACAACUGAUUCAUCAGAGGAAGAUUCAACAGAUGAAGCUGAGCUGUCAACCGAAGGAUUCACUGAUCCCCCAACUACAGCUCUUCCGAUCUCAAGAGCUAUAGCUGAAUCCACCGUAGAAGAAAUAACUGUAGACUACACUGACAAUACUACCGAUGAAGCACGGGAAUUGACAACAGCCUACACAACAGACAUAUCUACAAAUGAUUCAUCAGAGGAAGAGUCAACAGAGGAAACCGAACCGUCAACUACAGGAGUUACUGAUCCACCAACUACAACACAAUCAACAACAAAACCUAUAGCUGGAUCCACCUUAGAAGAAAUAACUGUAAAAGUCACUGAUGAUACUACUGAUGAAGAACUGACAACAACAUUCACAUCAGAAAAAUCUACAAGUGUCUCCAACAAACCAACGCCAUUUACACAUGAUUCAUCAGAGGAAGAUUCAAAAGAGGAAACGGAACUAUCAACAGGAGAAUUUACUGAUCAAUCAACUACAACACAACCAAACACAAGAGCUAUCGCUGAAUCCACCUUAGAAGAAAUAACUGUAAAAGUCACUGAUGAUACUACUGAUGAAGAACUGACAACCACAUUCACAUCAGAAAAAUCUACAAGUGUCUCAAACAAACCAACACCAUUUACAACUGAUUCAUCAGAGGAAGAUUCAAAAGAGGAAACGGAACUAUCAACAGGAGAAUUUACUGAUCAAUCAACUACAACACAACCAAACACAAGAGCUAUAGCUGCAUCCACCUUAGAAGAAAGAACUGUAAACGUCACUGAUGAUACUACUGAUGAAGAACUGACAACAGCUUUCACAUCAGACAUUUCUACAAGUUAUUCAUCAGAGGAAGAUUCAACAGAGGACACGGAACUAUCAACUGUAGUAUUUACUGAUCAAUCAACUACAACACCACCAAACACAAGAGCUAUAGCUGCAUCCACCUUAGAAGAAAGAACUGUAAACGUCACUGAUGAUACUACUGAUGAAGAACUGACAACAGCUUUCACAUCAGACAUUUCUACGAAUGAUUCAUCAGAGGAAGAUUCAACAGAGGAAACGGAACUAUCAACAGGAGAAUUUACUGAUCAAUCAACUACAACACAACCAAACACAAGAGCUAUCGCUGAAUCCACCUUAGAAGAAAUAACUUUAAAUGUCACUAAUGAUACUACUGAUGAAGAACUGACAACAACAUUCACAUCAGAAAAAUCUACAAGUGUCUCCAACAAACCAACGCCAUUUACAAAUGAUUCAUCAGAGGAAGAUUCGACAGAGGAAACGGAACUGUCAACAGUAGGAUUUACUGAUCAAUCGACUACAACACAACCAAACACAAGAACUAUUGCUGAAUCCACCUUAGAAGAAAUAACUUUAAAUGUCACUAAUGAUACUACUGAUGAAGAACUGACAACAACAUUCACAUCAGAAAAAUCUACAAGUGACUCAAACAAACCAACACCAUUUACAACUGAUUCAUCAGAGGAAGAUUCAACAGAGGAAACUGAACCGUCACCUGUAGGAUUUACUGAUCAAUCAACUAGAACACAACCAAACACAAGAGCUAUAGCUGCAUCCACCUUAGAAGAAAGAACUGUAAACGUCACUGAUGAUACUACUGAUGAAGAAUUGACAACAGCAUUCACAUCAGACAUAUCUACAAGUGUCUCCAACAAACCAACGCCAUUUACAAAUGAUUCAUCAGAGGAAGAGUCAACAGAGGAAACCGAACCGUCAACUACAGAGGUUACUGAUAAUCCAAUUACAAAGAGUAAACCUCAUUCAACCACAAGAAUUACAGCUGAAUCCACCUUAGAAGAAAUAACUUUAAAUGUCACUAAUGAUACUACUGAUGAAGAACUGACAACCACAUUCACAUCAGAAAUAUCUACAAGUGUCUCAAACCAACCAACACCAUUUACAAAUGAUUCAUCAGAGGAAGAUUCAAAAGAGGAAACGGAACUAUCAACAGGAGAAUUUACUGAUCAAUCAACUACAACACCACCAAACACAAGAGCUAUAGCUGCAUCCACCUUAGAAGAAAGAACUGUAAACGUCACUGAUGAUACUACUGAUGAAGAACUGACAACAGCUUUCACAUCAGACAUUUCUACGAAUGAUUCAUCAGAGGAAGAUUCAAAAGAGGAAACGGAACUAUCAACAGGAGAAUUUACUGAUCAAUCAACUACAACACAACCAACCACAAGAACUAUUGCUGAAUCCACCUUAGAAGAAAUAACUGUAAAAGUCACUGAUGAUACUACUGAUGAAGAAUUGACAACAUCUUUCACAUCAGACAUUUCUACAAGUUAUUCAUCAGAGGAAGAUUCAACAGAGGAAACCGAACCGUCAACUACAGGAGUUACUGAUCCACCAACUACAACACAAUCAACAACAAAACCUAUAGCUGGAUCCACUUUAGAAGAUAUAACUGUAAAUGUCACUGAUGAUACUACUGAUGAAGAACUGACAACAGCUUUCACAUCAGACAUUUCUACGAAUGAUUCAUCAGAGGAAGAUUCGACAGAGGAAACGGAACUGUCAACAGUAGGAUUUACUGAUCAAUCGACUACAACACAACCAAACACAAGAACUAUUGCUGAAUCCACCUUAGAAGAAAUAACUUUAAAUGUCACUAAUGAUACUACUGAUGAAGAACUGACAACAACAUUCACAUCAGAAAAAUCUACAAGUGUCUCCAACAAACCAACGCCAUUUACACAUGAUUCAUCAGAGGAAGAUUCAACAGAGGAAACCGAACCAUCAACUACAGAGGUUACUGAUAAUCCAAUUACAAGUAUUAAACCUCAUUCAACCACAAGAAUUACAGCUGAAUCCACCUUAGAAGAAAUAACUUUAAAUGUCACUAAUGAUACUACUGAUGAAGAAUUGACAACAGCAUUCACAUCAGAAAUAUCUACAAGUGUCUCAAACAAACCAACGCCAUUUACAAAUGAUUCAUCAGAGGAAGAUUCAUCAGAGGAAACUGAACCGUCAACUACAGGAGUUACUGAUCAACCAACUACAACACUAUCAACAACAAAAACUAGAGCUGGAUCCACCUUAGAAGAUAUAACUGUAAAUGUCACUGAUGAUACUACUGAUGAAGAACUGACAACCACAUUCACAUCAGAAAUAUCUACAAGUGUCUCAAACAAACCAACACCAUUUACAAAUGAUUCAUCAGAGGAAGAUUCAACAGAGGAAACAGAACCGUCAACUACAGAGGUUACUGAUAAUCCAAUUACAAGUAUUAAACCUCAUUCAACCACAAGAAUUACAGCUGAAUCCACCUUAGAAGAAAUAACUUUAAAUGUCACUAAUGAUACUACUGAUGAAGAACUGACAACAACAUUCACAUCAGAAAUAUCUACAAGUGUCUCAAACAAACCAACGCCAUUUACAAAUGAUUCAUCAGAGGACGAUUCAACAGAGGAAACUGAACCGUCAACUACAGGAGUUACUGAUCAAUCAACUACAAGUACAAAACCACAAUCAACCACAAGAAUUACAUCUGGAAUCACCGCAGAAGAAACAACAAUAGACUUUACUGAUGUACUAACUACUGAAAAUGCAUUGGGAUCCGCAACAACAUUCACACCUGAUGUAUCUACAGGUGUCACAAACAAAUCAACACCAUUUAUAACAGAUUCAACAAAAGAAGUUUUAACAGAGGAAACUGAACUGUCAACUGUAGAAUUUACUGAUCAAUCAACUACAACCUCAACACCUCAGUCAACCACAGGAAUUACAUCUGGAAUCACCGCAGAAGAAACAACAAUAGACUUUACUGAUGUACUAACUACUGAAAAUGCAUUGGGAUCCGCAACAACAUUCACACCUGAUGUAUCUACAGGUGUCACAAAAAAAUCAACACCAUUUAUAACAGAUUCAACAAAAGAAGUUUUAACAGAGGAAACUGAACUGUCAACUGUAGAAUUUACUGAUCAAUCAACUACAACCUCAACACCUCAGUCAACCACAGGAAUUACAGCUGGAGCCACCAUAAAAGAAACUAUUGUCUUCACUGAUGUACUAACCACUAAAAAGGCACUGGAAUCCACAACAACAUUCACAUCAGGAAUAUCUAAAAGUGUCACAUCUGAGAAUGAUCUGAGAACUGCAGAGACUGAAUUGACAACUAUAGGAAUUACUAAUCAAUCAACUACACUCUUUACACCAGAAUCAACCACGGGAGCCCAAUCAUUCACUAAGAUUCCUGAUUUAUCGACUACUGAUUCUACAGAGGAAUACACAACAGGAAUAUCACAAGAAAUUACAACUAAAGGAAUUGCUGGUCAGUCAGCUUCAGCCAUCACAACAUCUAAAUCAACAGCUAUAGAUACAUCAACCAUGGAUAGUGCAGCAACACAACCUGAGGUUACCACAUCAAGAACUACAGCAAUUACAGAAGAAUCAGUGACUUCAGGGGAUAAUACAAUGGCUACCACUGAGGGCUCCACCAUGCUUAUAAGUGGAACCACUAUCUCACAUGAAAGUCCUCUUUUCUCGCCACAAUCUACAGCACAACCACUAACAGUUGUAGUGGAACUCACCACUAAACCUACACUUGACACAACUGCAACUGAAUCUUCAACACCACCCCAGGAGACAAAGAGUAUGCCGACUACAGCCUUCACAAAUAACCAGCAUGUCAUUACUUCACAACACACACAAACUACAGACCAAUCUAUAACAAAUAUCCAAUCAACAAUGAGUACAUUGCAGAUUGAAACAGGUACAGCCCAGCCUACUUUCUCAACAACUUUCCAGACCAUAUUUGCUUCUCAACCAAAUCCAUCUGCAGUCCAACCUAAAACUAAUGCUCAAUCCACAAUUACUACACAACAACUUGCAACAGCUACAACCCAGCCUAUAUUCUCAGCAACUGCCCAGCCUACACAUGCAGCCCAGACCGUUACUUCACAAUCUACACAAACUGAAAUCCAACCUACAACUAAUGCCCAGUCCACAACUACUACACCACAACUUGCAACAGCUACAACCCCGCCUAUAUUCUCAAUUCCCCAGCCUCCACAUACAGCCCAGACUGUUACUACACAAUCUACUCAAACUGAAAUUCAACCUAUAACUAAUGCCCAACCCACAAUUACUACACCACAACUUGUAACAGCUACAACCCAGCCUAUAUUCUCCACAGCUGCCCAACCUACACAUACUGCCCAGACUGUUACUUCACAAUCUACACAAACUGAAAUCCAACCUAAAACUAAUGCCCAGUCCACAACUACUACACCACAACUUGUAACAGUAACAACCCAGCCUAUAUUCUCAAUUCCCCAGCCUCCACAUACAGCCCAGACUGUUACUACACAAUCUACUCAAACUGAAAUUCAACCUAUAACUAAUGCCCAAUCCACAACUAUUACACCACAACUUGUAACAGUAACAACCCAGCCUAUAUUCUCAAUUCCCCAGCCUCCACAUACAGCCCAGACUGUUACUACACAAUCUACUCAAACUGAAAUUCAACCUAUAACUAAUGCCCAAACCACAAUUAUUACACCACAACUUGUAACAGUAACAACCCAGCCUAUAUUCUCAACAGCUGCCCACCCUACACAUGCAGCCCAGACUGCUCCUUCACAAUCUACUCAAACUGAAAUUCAACCUAUAACUAAUGCCCAAUCCACACUUACUACACCACAACUUGCAACAGCUACAACCCCGCCUAUAUUCUCAAUUCCCCAGCCUCCACAUACAGCCCAGACUGUUACUUCACACUCUACUCAAACUGAAAUCCCACCUAUAACUAAUGCCCAAUCCACACUUACUACACCACAACUUGCAACAGCUACACCCCCGCCUAUAUUCGCAACUGCCCAGCCUACACAUACAGCACAGACCGUUACUUCACAAUCUACUCAAACUGCAACCCAACCUAUAACUAAUGCCCAAACCACAAUUAUUACACCACAACUUGUAACAGUUACCACCCAGCCUAUAUUCUCAACAGCUGCCCACCCUACACAUGCAGCCCAGACUGCUCCUUCACAAUCUACUCAAACUGAAAUUCAACCUAUAACUAAUGCCCAACCCACAAUUACUACACCACAACUUGCAACAGCUACACCCCCGCCUAUAUUCGCAACUGCCCAGCCUACACAUGCAGCCCAGACUGCUCCUUCACAAUCUACUCAAACUGAAAUCCCACCUAUAACUAAUGCCCAAUCCACCAUUACUACACCACAACUUGCAACAGCUACAACCCAGACUAUAUUCUCAGCAACUGCCCAGCCUACACCUGCAGCCCCGACCGUCACUUCACAAUCUACUCAAACUGCAACCCAACCUAUAACUAAUGCCCACUCCACAACUACUACACCACAACUUGCAAAAGUUACAACCCAGCCUAUAUUCUCAACAACUGCCCACCCUGUAACUAUUUCACAACCUACACAAACUGCAAUCCCACCUAUAACUACAGCUACAUCUCAACCCAACUCAGAAAUAACCCAACCUCAGAGUACAAAAACAGUUGCAAUCCAGUCUACAAUUAUAACUCAACCGACAUUUACCACAACUGCAAAUGGUACCAAGAAAGUCCAGACCACAACUACAUCCCAACCUAUAUCAACUACAAUCCAGUCCACGACAACAUCAAACCCUGCAACAGCUACAACAGUUAAACUGUCAACAAUUACAACCCAGCAGAUUACAACAGCUACAACUGAGACUAGAACAACUCACUUGGCGGCAUCAAUGCAAUUGACAACAAAUUCACUCCAACCUACCAGUACAAUUCAUGCAGCAUCUGUAUCUGAAAGCAAAUCUACCACUACAACCCAAACUAUAACUCUUACAGUCCCACCCACCACAAUUACAACUCAGUCUACAGCUGCAACUACAUCCCAACUACAUUCCAAACCAACCUUUACAAACCAAAUGACAACACAACAACUUUCAAUUGGUACAACCCAGUUUAUAUCUGCCGCAACCCAACCUACAACAAAUGCAACCCAGCCUUCAACCCCACCUGUAUCCCCUGCUCCAACUCUAACACACACUUCAACCCAGCCUACAACUUCAACUAUACCUGCACCUACAACCCAACCAAAAACAACUGCAACCAACCCUAUAUCUACAACUACUGCCGUAACUACAAGAACAAACCAUCUUGCCAUCACAACUACAACCACACCUUUACUUGAAACAACAGCACCGCUCACAACUACAGUGGAAGUCAGAUUUUCCAGCUCAGAAAUGUUUGAUUCUUUACUGUCUGACAAAAAUUCAGAUAUCUAUAAAAAACGAGAAGAAAGAGUCAAAAAGGAGUUUGUGCCGAUCUUUAAAAAAGAGUUCCCGUCCUUCUUCAGACUGACAGUGAUUAGAUUCAUAGAAGGAUCAGUGAUCACAGAUAUGAAUUUGGAAUUCAGGAAAGACACUCUUUUGCCAGAUGACAAUGAGAUAAUACGUACUAUCACCAGUGCCAAUACUACAUUUAAUAUCACCAGAGCAGAAGUUAUGCCAAAAGCUGACCUUUCCACUACUACCAAUCAUACUACAACCCCGACCAAGCCCACUGAAGCCAAAGUAACCACGCAUCAAGCAACAACGUUGACAACAAAAACACCAACAACAAAAGCCACAAUCAUCACGCCAACAACAAAAGCCACAAUCGCCACACCAACAACAAAAGCCACAAUCAUCACGCAAACAACAAAAGCCACAAUUGCCACGACAACAACAAAAGCUGCAAUCGCCACGUCAACAACAAAAGCCACAACUGCCAUGCCAACAACAAAAGCCAAAAUCACCACGCCAACAACAAAAGCCACAAUCACCACGCCAAAAACAACUGCUACAACCACAACAGCCAAAACCACCACCACAACAGCAGUUCCAACACGCCCUCCACCAGUUGUAACCAUAGAGUUUGUCAUUUUAGUAAUAUUUUUUCCAGACCUUCAAAACACACAAAGUGUGGCAUUUAAGAACCUAGCAGACAAAGUUCAAAAUGAGUGUGACAAAGUAUAUAAACUGAAGUAUGGAGUUCUUUUCAUCAGGACUAUUGUGAUUGCUUUCAGAGCUUUUUCCAGAACCCGAGCAGAGGAAAAUGUACAGGCAGUGCUUGAAUUAGUGUUUAGCCAAACAUCCACUGAACCGAUCCCCAGCAACACUGACAUUGUGGAAACUCUGAAAGAAGCAGCUACAACUCCAACUUCAGGGUUCAACCUCACUCUUGAUUCCACCACUAUAAAUGUCCUUAAAUCAGUGAAGAUAAUUCCGCUGACAAUCCUCACCAAUGGAACCUUUGUGGCUGCUCUUUCAAAUAAAAGUUCUACUGAAUUUCAGAACAGAGCUUCGAUGAUAAAAGCAGGGCUUGAACCUUUCUUCUUUGCUGAGUAUCCAACAUCAUUCAGCACCAUAUCCGUAACAAACUUCAGUGUUGCCAGUGUAAAAUUAAGGAGUGUGCCAACAAUCCGAAACUCCAUGGAUCUCACAUUCGGAGCGGACGCCGUUCUACCCAAUAGCACCCAGAUAGUGAACACUGUAGUCCGAGCAGCCAGAAACAACACGUUACCCUUCCAGAUCUUCACUUCUUCAAUCAUAAUAAAUGGAACCGAAUAUUCGUCAGGUGAAGUCAGCAGCAGGGUCAGUGUGUUGACCGCUUCAGUCCUGGUUGCUGUGUCGCUUCUGGUUCCAUGGUUUAACUGGGUGUAACCACUCAGGCCAAUAUAACUGAUUCAUACGGGUCUAAAUCUUCCUUGCCUUUCACGCCUGCUCAAAUGAAGGACUCGUACAUGUAAACAAAACUCUGACUGCAUCAGUUUUUAGAACUGAAUGUGUCUGUUUUUAGCUCUUGUUCUGUUUUCAGAACAGGUUAACACUAGUCAUACAAGCACUUUUAGUAAUUUAUUUAUUCUUAAAAAAAAGACUCAGUUAAAUCAUAUUGUCAUUGGUUUCUUUUCUGAAUAAUGUAAUCUACAAAUCAAGGGGCAGUUCUUUAAAGUCAUUAAUUUAUUGUUUGUUUAUUCUGUAUGUGUUGUAGUCGGAUGAGUAAAAGUGGGUACAACAUAACAAUCUACAGACGUAUAGUAUAAGCUACAACAACCACAUUUUCAACUGAAUUCUUUUGUAAUAUUGUAAUAUAUAUGAAUAUAUAUGUAAUAUAUAACCAUCUCUGUUAUAUCUAAGAUGAACUCUGGUAAAACUAUUGAAAUGCAUUACAUUUGUUAAUUUAUUUGUUGAUCAAUAAAAAAUAGGAGUGUAACGGUUCA